rnacentral:rRNA from 2 species
GUCCUGGUGACGAUAGCGCUGUCGAACCACCUGAUUCCAUUCCGAACUCAGAAGUGAAAGGCAGCUGCGCGAACGAUAGUUGUCGGGCAACUGACCGCGAAAAUACGUCAUCGCCAGGACA